AACGAACGCUGGCGGCAUGCCUAACACAUGCAAGUCGAACGAGACCUUCGGGUCUAGUGGCGCACGGGUGCGUAACGCGUGGGAACCUGCCCUUAGGUUCGGAAUAACUCCCCGACAGGGGUGCUAAUACCGGAUAAUGUCUUCGGACCAAAGAUUUAUCGCCUUUGGAUGGGCCCGCGUUGGAUUAGCUAGUUGGUAGGGUAAAAGCCUACCACGGCGACGAUCCAUAGCUGGUCUGAGAGGAUGAUCAGCCACACUGGGACUGAGACACGGCCCAGACUCCUACGGGAGGCAGCAGUGGGGAAUAUUGGAAAAUGGGCGAAAGCCUGAUCCAGCAAUGCCGGGUGAGUGAUGAAGGCCGUAGGGUUGUAAAGCUCUUUUACCCGGGAUGAUAAUGACAGUACCGGGAGAAUAAGCUCCGGCUAACUCCGUG
rnacentral:rRNA from 1 species